rnacentral:rRNA from 1 species
GACGAACGCUGGCGGCGUGCUUAACACAUGCAAGUCGAACGGAAAGGCCUGCUUUCCCUUGUGGAUUGCGGGUACUCGAGUGGCGAACGGGUGAGUAACACGUGAGUGAUCUGCCCCCAACUUGGGUAUAAGCCUGGGAAACUGGGUCUAAUUCCCGAUAGGACUGCAGGGUGGUGCCUGUGGUGGAAAACGAUUUUCUAGUGGUUGGGGAUGAGCUCGCGGCCUAUCAGCUUGUUGGUGGGGUAAUGGCCUACCAAGGCGGCGACGGGUAGCCGGCCUGAGAGGGUGGACGGUCACAUUGAGACUGAGAUACGGCCCAGACGCCUACGGGAGGCAGCAGUGGGGAAUAUUGGACAAUGGGCGGAAGCCUGAUGCAGCGACGCCGCGUGGGAGAUGACGGCCUUCGGGUUGUAAACUCCUUUCGACCGCGAGGAAGCCACCUGGUUGGAAGGGUGGUGACGGUAGUGGUAGAAGAAGCACCGGCUAACUACGUG